rnacentral:rRNA from 1 species
GAUGAACGCUGGCGGCGUGCCUAAUACAUGCAAGUAGAACGCUGAAGGAAGGAGCUUGCUCUUUCCGGAUGAGUUGCGAACGGGUGAGUAACGCGUAGGUAACCUGCCUGGUAGCGGGGGAUAACUAUUGGAAACGAUAGCUAAUACCGCAUAACAGUAGAUGUUGCAUGAUAUCUACUUAAAAGGUGCAAUUGCACCACUACCAGAUGGACCUGCGUUGUAUUAGCUAGUUGGUGAGGUAACGGCUCACCAAGGCGACGAUACAUAGCCGACCUGAGAGGGUGAUCGGCCACACUGGGACUGAGACACGGCCCAGACUCCUACGGGAGGCAGCAGUAGGGAAUCUUCGGCAAUGGACGGAAGUCUGACCGAGCAACGCCGCGGGAGUGAAGAAGGUUUUCGGAUCGUAAAGCUCUGUUGUAAGAGAAGAACGAGUGUGAGAGUGGAAAGUUCACACUGUGACGGUAGCUUACCAGAAAGGGACGGCUAACUACGUG